CGAAAGGGUGAGUAACGCGUAGGAACCUGUCGCGCAUGGGGGAUAACGCCGGGAAACUGGCGCUAAUACCGCAUGUGAUCCUUCGGGAGGAAAGCAUUUAUGCGCUGUGUGAGGGGCCUGCGUCCGAUUAGCUUGUUGGUGGGGUAAAGGCCUACCAAGGCUGCGAUCGGUAGCUGGUCUGAGAGGAUGGUCAGCCACACUGGGACUGAGACACGGCCCAG
rnacentral:rRNA from 1 species